UCGAAUUAAGCAUACGGUUAAAGAUAACGCGGAUCAACAAAAAAGCUAAGUUAAACGCAAUUAAAUUAAGGAACAUGCAUCAAUCAUAUUUUAUCCAAUCUAUUCUAUAAGAAAUCUAAUUAAGGAAACAAGAUUCAUAGAAAUAUUGAAAAGAAAUCGAAAUUGAAUUGGAAAUUAUAUUAAUCUCAAAGUUUUGAUGGAAUCUGAAAUCAAUAAAUCAACCUUUGGUUGUUUAGCUCUCCAUGGAAUUAUAGCAGUGUAUUUUAAUUUUGUGUAAACUGAAUACCCCAGUAGUAGUAAUAGUAGUAGUACUAUGCAUAUGCUUAUAUAAUAUAAGAAAAUUGGAUUCUAAGAGCACCCGACCCGAAAAACAUAAAUUCGGCCCAAGUUAUGAUCAACACGGUGAGAAAGUGUCAAAUUACAACUUAUUCAAAAAAUACGUAACGAAAAUAAAAUAAAAUAAAAUAUAAACUAACCUUAUAAAACAUACUAAAGAAAAUAAAAAACAACAAGAUAAACUAUAGAAUUUUUGUAGCAAAAAGUAAAAUAGAGUGCAUCAAAAUGCAAUGAUCAACUUGCCGUAGAUGAAGAAGAAGAAAAGAAAAAUAAAAGUCUAGCACUUAAAA
rnacentral:lncRNA from 1 species